rnacentral:miRNA from 3 species
UAGGAACUUCAUACCGUGCU